GACGAACGCUGGCGGCGUGCCUAAUACAUGCAAGUUGAGCGCUGAAGGUUGGUACUUGUACCAACUGGAUGAGCAGCGAACGGGUGAGUAACGCGUGGGGAAUCUGCCUUUGAGCGGGGGACAACAUUUGGAAACGAAUGCUAAUACCGCAUAAAAACUUUAAACACAAGUGUUAAGUUUGAAAGAUGCAAUUGCAUCACUCAAAGAUGAUCCCGCGUUGUAUUAGCUAGUUGGUGAGGUAAAGGCUCACCAAGGCGAUGAUACAUAGCCGACCUGAGAGGGUGAUCGGCCACAUUGGGACUGAGACACGGCCCAAACUCCUACGGGAGGCAGCAGUAGGGAAUCUUCGGCAAUGGACGAAAGUCUGACCGAGCAACGCCGCGUGAGUGAAGAAGGGUUUCGGAUCGUAAAACUCUGUUGGUAGAGAAGAACGUUGGUGAGAGUGGAAAGCUCAUCAAGUGACGGUAACUACCCAGAAAGGGACGGCUAACUACGUG
rnacentral:rRNA from 1 species